AGAUUGAACGCUGGCGGAAUGCUUUACACAUGCAAGUCGAACGGCAGCACGGGACUCAGGCAACUGAGCCCUGGUGGCGAGUGGCGAACGGGUGAGUAACAUAUCGGAACGUACCCAGUCGUGGGGGAUAACUCUCCGAAAGGAGAGCUAAUACCGCAUACGUCCUGAGGAGAAAGCGGGGACCUAAGGUAACUGAGGGCCUCGCGCGAUUGGAGCGGCCGAUACGUCGGAUUAGCUAGUUGGUGAGGUAAAGGCUCACCAAGGCGACGAUCCGUAGCGGGUCUGAGAGGACGACCCGCCACACUGAACUGAGACACGUACCAGACCUCCGUACGGGAGCGAGCAGUGGGUAAUUUGGGACAAGUGGGGACAACCCGUAGACUCC
rnacentral:rRNA from 1 species